ACGAUUUGGGGGAAGAUGGAUGGAAAGGGUCUUCAGAAAGGAAUACGGCCCCACUGACAUCUUCAUUUUGGACCAGUGAGACCAUUUCAGGUUUCUGACCUCCAGAAUGUUGUCCCUUGAACAGAGUGCCAGACAUCCUUGAGUGUGAACUCAAGGAUAACUAUGAACAAAGCUAGAGGAAGUGAUGGAAUUCAAGCUGAACUCUUUCAAAUCCUGGAAGAUGAUGCUGUGAAAGUGCUGCACACAGUAUGCCAGCAAAUUUGGAAAACUCAGCAGUGGCCACAGGACUGGAAAUGAUCAGUUUUCAUUCCAUUCCCAAAGAAAGGCAAUGCCAAAGCAUGUUCAAACUACCACACAAUUGCACUCAUCUCACAUGCUAGCAAAGUAAUGCUCACUCAAAAUUCUCCAAGCCAGGCUUCAAUAGUACAGGAACUGUGAACUUUCAGAUAUUCAAGCUAGAUUUAGAAAAAGCAGAGGAACCAGAGAUCAAACUGCCAACAUCCGCUGAAUCAUCGAAAAAGCAAGAGAGUUUCAGAAAAACAUCUACUUCUGCUUUAUUGACUAUGCCAAAGCCUUUGACUGUGUAGAUCACAACAAACUGUGGGAAAUUCUUAAAGAUAUGGGAAUACCAGACCACCUGAUCUGCCUCUGGAGAAAUCUGUAUGCAGGUCAAGAUGCAAGAGUUAGAAAUGGACAUGGAACAACGGUCUGGUUCCAAAUUGGGAAAC
ensembl:lncRNA